rnacentral:rRNA from 1 species
GGAAUAUUGCACAAUGGGGGAAACCCUGAUGCAGCGACACCGCGUGAGUGAGGAAGUAUUUCGGUAUGUAAAGCUCUAUCAGCAGUGAAGAAAAUGACGGUACCUGACUAAGAAGCCCCGGCUAACUACGUGCCAGCAGCCGCGGUAAUACGUAGGGGGCAAGCGUUAUCCGGAUUUACUGGGUGUAAAGGGAGCGUAGACGGAAUUGCAAGUCUGAUGUGAAAAUCCGGGGCCCAACCCCGGAACUGCAUUGGAAACUGUAUUUCUAGAGUGUCGGAGAGGCAAGUGGAAUUCCUGGUGUAGCGGUGAAAUGCGUAGAUAUUAGGAGGAACACCAGUGGCGAAGGCGGUCUGCUGGACAGAAACUGACGCUGAGGCGCGAAAGCGUGGGGAGCAAACA